CGCACAGUGGCUUAGUGGUUCGCACGCUCGCCUCACACCUCCAGGGUCGGGGGUUCGAUUCCCGCCGGGGCCA